GAAAACAUAACUCUAAUGGUUAGAGUGUUCCUCUUUUAAAGGAAAGGUUUCUGGUUCGAAUCCAGAUGUUUUCU
rnacentral:tRNA from 1 species